rnacentral:sRNA from 1 species
CAGCUACAUAAAUCUAGGAGGUGCCUGACGGACCCGGUGUGCAUGCAUGAGCGGCAUUUGGCUCUGUCUCAUUGCGUCUGGCCCGAGCAAUACGCCUACGUUUCCUCCUAGCCUCCUCUUCCUCCGCUUUCCUUACAGCAAGCUCCUCAGCAUGCUCUUCCUGAUAUAAUGGGUCAAAGAGUUGACCCUCAGGGUACCUCUGCUUCUUCUUACUCCCCCGAGUAGCUUUGUCAAGCGCCUGGGCAGCCUUGCCUCUCGCCAACUCUUCCUCCAGAAGCGCGUUCCUCGCCAUCAGCUGCUCAUUGGCCUUUUCAAGCUUUAGCAUGGCUGCGAAUGGGUCGACUUUCCCCUGUCGGACCGCGCGAUUGUUCGCAUGAAGGAUGCGGAGGUUGCGAGGGGUAAGGAGGUCCUCAGUGGCAGCUUGGGGGGAGGAGUGGCCGGCGCUUGCUCCUCUAUUCCCAUGACGGCAGGGUCAAGAGGAAACAGGCCCGAUUUCCUCCAAGCUCCUCGAAUUUGACGUGAGGUCGCCGUCUCCCGCCACGCCCUCUGGUGCCAGCCCCAAAACAUCCCCUUGGCCACCCCUCUAAGGGAGCUACCAAGCUGGUAUUCAUCCAGUUGACGAUGGUACGCUGCCUUGAGGGCGUUGAAGAAGUCGACGUCGAGAGGUUGGAACCUGUCGCUCAUCUUCGCAGUAAGAAGAAUCACGACAAUGUUCCUAGCCCACAUGCUUCAAGGAAAUCCACUUUGGUGUGCGGUUCGGCACCAUCGAGGAUGAGUAGUCGCCGUUCACGACCUCCACUAGCAAUAUCGCGGAUAUAAGGGUCAAAGGCGUCUUCAAGCCAUUUCAACAUCACAUAGCUGUUGAUCCAGCCUGAGUCGGUGUUGAUAGCGAGCUGGCGCACCACCCCGUUACCCUUUUCCCGCACCUUGAACCAAUUUUCUUGCAGUUGUGCGCCUUGAUAGAUGAUGAGAGGAGGAACUGGCGCAGAGUCAAUGCCGAUGCAAGCCACAGAUAUCGUGUGCUCCAGCUUGCGCCAUUCUUUGGGUGGGUAUGAGAGGCAACUCUUCGCACUCUUCGAGAGCUUGAGAGCUCUAAAGCAGCUUCGUCCGCUUUGAAGAUAAGAUUGGGUGGGGGCGUGUAAAGGAAAUACUAAUAGGCACAUACAAAGUGGUAAAAAACUCUGCGUGUCUCUGGAAUGUCUAUAUGUAGACGUCCGUGCAUAUAGAUGUCCGAGCUCUUUUUAAGAGAAAAAAUGUGAAUGUAUGGUAUCGGGGUGUCACUGGAUGAACCGCGAGCCCCAAUUGACGCCCAAUUCUCCAUCACAGACCGUUUCUGCAAGUUUGACGACAUGUCUCGGCGCCAAGAGGGUGCCUCGCUCAACAUAUUCGUUAAUCAUUUAGACCAGUUGCUCCUCCUGCACAAUAGAGAGUUGUCGAGGGCCGAGGUCCUAUGGGAAGCGUGCACACGGGUGUCGAGGUCGUAGAGGGAGGACUCUGAGACUCCGCAUAAUCUGCGACUUUUUAUAGCUGUAACGAGGGUUGCUUGUCUUCCGACUAAGUGCGAGGGUCAUAGGAUCGGCCAUUGUGGAGAUAUAAUGUUAAUGAUUUGUACAAUAUAGCGAUGUUUGGGCGGACGUCCGAGAUUGCCGUGCGUCCGUCCGAUAAUCAGGCGAGUACGAGUACUGUACAUGCUCCAUGAUCUUACAUGAUGUAGAACAGUGAUACUUGCGACUGAGUUGAGAAAUUCUGGACAACUUACAGUCCAUCCAUGCACGACCUCUGCAACCCUCCCC